rnacentral:rRNA from 1 species
AAUCUUCCGCAAUGGACGAAAGUCUGACGGAGCAACGCCGCGUGAGUGACGAAGGCCUUCGGGUCGUAAAGCUCUGUUGUUAGGGAAGAACAAGUACCGUUCGAAUAGGGCGGUACCUUGACGGUACCUAACCAGAAAGCCACGGCUAACUACGUGCCAGCAGCCGCGGUAAUACGUAGGUGGCAAGCGUUGUCCGGAAUUAUUGGGCGUAAAGCGCGCGCAGGCGGUCUUUUAAGUCUGAUGUGAAAGCCCACGGCUCAACCGUGGAGGGUCAUUGGAAACUGGAGGACUUGAGUGCAGAAGAGGAGAGUGGAAUUCCACGUGUAGCGGUGAAAUGCGUAGAUAUGUGGAGGAACACCAGUGGCGAAGGCGGCUCUCUGGUCUGUAACUGACGCUGAGGCGCGAAAGCGUGGGGAGCAAACAGGAUUAGAUACCCUGGUAGUCCACGCCGUAAACGAUGAGUGCUAGGUGUUGGGGGGUUCCACCCUCAGUGCUGAAGUUAACACAUUAAGCACUCCGCCUGGGGAGUACGACCGCAAGGUUGAAACUCAAAGGAAUUGACGGGG